rnacentral:rRNA from 1 species
AGCAGCCGCGGUAAUUCCAGCUCCAAUAGCGUAUAUUAAAGUUGUUGCAGUUAAAAAGCUCGUAGUUGAAUUUCGGGGUUCUACCGUUGGUCGGGCUUUGUCUGUACUGGCGUGUAGAAUUUCUACCUUCUGGGGAACCGUCAUGUUAUUAAUUUAACGUGGUGGGAAACCAGGACCUUUACCUUGAAAAAAUUAGAGUGUUUAAAGCAGGCUUUUGCUUGAAUACAUUAGCAUGGAAUAAUAAAAUAGGACGGCAUGAUUCUAUUUUGUUGGUUUCUAGGAUCACCGUAAUGAUUAAUAGGGAUAGUUGGGGGCAUUAGUAUUCAAUUGUCAGAGGUGAAAUUCUUGGAUUUAU